GAACCUGUAUUGAUUGGGCAAGUGCAGAAGAUAAUGGAGGAGGCUGUGGCUGCACCUCAAAUAAUACAAAUGGAGAGGCCCAAGGCCCUACAGAAGCAUAAGCCGCUGUUUUUGAAGAUUGAAGUUGGAGUGGGCCAGGGGGAGUCUGGAGCUGAGGAGGCUCUUAACUUUGGAGAGACUUCGAAAUAUGCUCGUAAACAUUUUUUGGAUUAUAUUGAUGACUGUGGGGAGUGGGACUGUGGGGAAUGGGCUGGUUUGAUGAAGGGAGACGGAGAUAAUUUUGGGUUGGAACCCCCCAGAGACCUACUCCUCAAUGAGAAAGGAAAGAAAUUAAGAAAGAGACCAACAAAAGACAAGGAAAAGUGCACGUAUAAACAAGAAGAAGAAGAUCUGCAGAAGGGACAUGGAAGAGACUUAAGGGCCUCGGACAUAAGACUUCCAGGUUGAUGGACUAGAUGGAACGGACAGUAAGGACUGACACGACCCGAGACCAGGAAGAAGAGACGUUGGAUGAAGAUUGGAAGAAAAUUCAUAAAGAAAAUUUUUUUAUUUAGGGAAUUAGCCUAAAAUUAAUGAAUAUUAGGGAAAAUGUUGGAAUGAAACUAUAUGACUCUAGUAGAAAUGAUAUCAGGAGUUAUGUAUAACUGAGUAUUAAGUUUCAAGCUUUAAGGUAUUUUAUGGUAAGAUAAGGUUAAAUAAAUCAAGGUAAUUUGAAUAACAGAAUAUGGGGAAAGAUGGAAAGGAUCUGUCGAGUUAAUUAAUAGGUUAAAUUGUUAAGAUAAAUUAUUUAAUAAUAAUUGAGAAAGAUGGAAAGAAUUUGCUGAAAUAACUAACUAAACUAGAAUACAAAAAGGGAGGUGUGAGGAGGUCAACGAAACAAGCAAAUGGAAGUUAAAGAUAUGUAAUGUGGGAUUUGUGUUUUUUUUCUUUUUCUUUUUUAUUUUUUUUUCUGUAUUGUUGUAUUGGUCUUAUGUUUUGCGUUUUUUCCUCUUUUUAUGCAUUGUAGUGUUGUUUUUUAUUUUUUCUUUCUUUUCUGUAAUUCUGAAAUUAUUAAUAAAUAUUAUUUUUUU